ensembl:lncRNA
UUGCACUGACAAAUGGUAAGAUCGGCAUGUUUCUGAAGUUGUGCUUGAUGUGCAGCCUCUUAACCCUGGUUCUCGAUGAACAGCAUUUUAACUUUUGUGGUCGACAUGCAGGUUUUAUCCUUUUGUAUAGAUCUUCUGUGAAUCGUUUCCAUCAAUGCAUCAGUCAAUCAAUCUUCACCAACACCACACGCCAUCAACAACUCUCUUUUGUUGUUUCUUCUAAUGAAAACAGCUCUCUAUGAGAGUUCUGAUGAGUUCGAGUGAUGAACGAGGACACAGUUUGGUGAGAGGUGACAAGUGUUCUCCAGCAUUGUCUGAAGAUGCCCCGUCGGCCACCGAUGGCCACCUCUGCCACGGUUACCAGAGUAUCUCGGAACUGCUACCAGCGAGAAUUCAGCUAAAUGCCUGCCCAAACCAUUACCCUCCCCAAAGCAGCCAGCAGGACGGG